CUAAUACAUGCAAGUCGAGCGGACUUUAAAAGCUUGCUUUUAAAGUUAGCGGCGGACGGGUGAGUAACACGUGGGCAACCUGCCUGUAAGACUGGGAUAACUUCGGGAAACCGGAGCUAAUACCGGAUAAUCCUUUUCCUCUCAUGAGGAAAAGCUGAAAGACGGUUUACGCUGUCACUUACAGAUGGGCCCGCGGCGCAUUAGCUAGUUGGUGAGGUAACGGCUCACCAAGGCGACGAUGCGUAGCCGACCUGAGAGGGUGAUCGGCCACACUGGGACUGAGACACGGCCCAGACUCCUACGGGAGGCAGCAGUAGGGAAUCUUCCGCAAUGGACGAAAGUCUGACGGAGCAACGCCGCGUGAGUGAUGAAGGUUUUCGGAUCGUAAAACUCUGUUGUUAGGGAAGAACAAGUACAAGAGUAACUGCUUGUACCUUGACGGUACCUAACCAGAAAGCCACGGCUAACUACGUGCCAGCAGCCGCGGUAAUACGUAGGUGGCAAGCGUUGUCCGGAAUUAUUGGGCGUAA
rnacentral:rRNA from 1 species